rnacentral:rRNA from 1 species
GUCCUAGCCUUAACGAUGAAUGCUUGGUGUGACGGGUACCCAAUCCCGCCGUGCCGGAGCUAACGCGAUAAGCAUUCCGCCUGGGAGUACGGUCGCAAGGCUGAACUCAAAGGAAUUGACGGGGCCCGCACAAGCGGUGGAGCAUGUGGUUCAAUUCGACGCAACGCGAAGAACCUUACCUGGGCUCGAAGCGCAGUGGACCGGGUGGAAACAUCCCCUUUCUCGCAAGAGACUGCUGCGGAGGUGCUACAUGGCUGUCGU